UUUUCUGUAUUCACCUUAAUGGAAAAUACAAUGACCUGUCCGCUGUGGGUGACCUUCUCCCCAGUACUCGACACAGCGGCGCUGAGCUGUCUCCCAGUAUGUACGGCUACACAUGCCAAGGACCGUGGAACAAAAAAAGAGCUCCGGUAACUCCUUACGAUACCACGUCCCAGCACCAACCAGGAGGCCGCCAUGUCAACAGUGACCUCCACUUUUCCCAGUUAGCGCCGCCUUAAAGUGACUUGGACUCCGGAAGUAAUGUGUAAAGAAGUACAAGUAUCUCCGAGUUUAGAGAUCUUACGAACCAAUGAGAGAGUGAGUUACGUGUGUGUCAUCAACACACACCCCUUCUCCGACGUGUUAGUGACAGCUGAGGUUGAGAAGUGCGCAUGCGUGGAGCGGUCCGGAGUGUUGAGGUCUGACUAUGGCAUUGCUUCUUAGGAGAGCUUUGUACUCUUUGUUGAAUCCUCAGAAACUUGUUGGCAAGAGCAGUGUACAUUUUUCUUUCAUGUCCAUGGUCUUCAACACAUGUACUCGAUACUGCAAUCCAAAGAAUAUAAUUUACUUCAGAAGUACGUUUCUUCUGCCUGGUAAUUACCUGCUACCAGUGCAACAGACGUCUGGGCUGAAAACUAAAGGUGUCCUGAAGAAGCGCUGCAAAGACUGUUACAUUGUGAAAAGACGUGGGCAGCUUUAUGUCUACUGCAAGAGUAAUGGCAAACACAAACAGAGAUUGGCAUAGUUGAUGUCUGAGCCUAUACAAUAGAGCUGUAACUGGACUGUCUAGUUUAGUACCUUUAAUGUCCCUGGAACACAAUAAAAAAAAAUGUUAGAUUGUUAA